AGAGUUUGAUCUGGCUCAGGAUGAACGCUAGCGACAGGCUUAACACAUGCAAGUCGAGGGGCAGCGAGGGCGUAGCAAUACGCCUGUCGGCGACCGGCGCACUGGUGAGUAACACGUAUGCGACCUGCCCCCUACAGGGGUAUAACCCGUAGAAAUGCGGACUAAUCCCCCAUAGUCCUGGAGGCUGCAUGGCUUUCAGGGGAAAGGCCAGCCGGUAGGGGAUGGGCAUGCGGCGCAUUAGCUAGUUGGCGGGGCAACGGCCCACCAAGGCGACGAUGCGUAGGGGUUCUGAGAGGAAGGUCCCCCACACUGGUACUGAGACACGGACCAGACUCCUACGGGAGGCAGCAGUGAGGAAUAUUGGUCAAUGGGCGCAGGCCUGAACCAGCCAAGUCGCGUGAGGGAUGACGGUCCUACGGAUUGUAAACCUCUUUUGUCGGGGAGUAACGUGCGGGACGUGUCCCGUAUUGAGAGUACCCGAAGAAAAAGCAUCGGCUAACUCCGUGCCAGCAGCCGCGGUAAUACGGAGGAUGCGAGCGUUAUCCGGAUUUAUUGGGUUUAAAGGGUGCGCAGGCGGCGCGCCAAGUCAGCGGUCAAAGUUCCGGGCUCAACCCGGUGUCGCCGUUGAAACUGGCGUGCUCGAGUGCGUGCGAGGAAGGCGGAAUGCGUUGUGUAGCGGUGAAAUGCAUAGAUAUGACGCAGAACUCCGAUUGCGAAGGCAGCUUUCCAGCGCGCUACUGACGCUGAGGCACGAAAGCGUGGGGAUCGAACCAGGAUUAGAUACCCUGGUAGUCCACGCAGUAAACGAUGACUACU
rnacentral:rRNA from 1 species